UAGGGAAUCUUCGGCAAUGGACGAAAGUCUGACCGAGCAACGCCGCGUGAGUGAAGAAGGUUUUCGGAUCGUAAAACUCUGUUGUUAGAGAAGAACAAGGACGUUAGUAACUGAACGUCCCCUGACGGUAUCUAACCAGAAAGCCACGGCUAACUACGUGCCAGCAGCCGCGGUAAUACGUAGGUGGCAAGCGUUGUCCGGAUUUAUUGGGCGUACAGCGAGCGCAGGCGGUUUCUUAAGUCUGAUGUGAAAGCCCCCGGCUCAACCGGGGAGGGUAAUUGGAAACUGGGAGACUUGAGUGCAGAAGAGGAGAGUGGAAUUCCAUGUGUAGCGGUGAAAUGCGUAGAUAUAUGGAGGAACACCAGUGGCGAAGGCGGCUCUCUGGUCUGUAACUGACGCUGAGGCUCGAAAGCGUGGGGAGCAAACAGG
rnacentral:rRNA from 1 species